UGAGAACUUGAACUUAAUUUCACCUU
rnacentral:piRNA from 1 species